rnacentral:lncRNA from 1 species
UCUGAGUGUCAUACCAGCGUCCAUCUCCAUGUCUGAGCGUCAUACCAGUGUUCAUGUGUUGGGUAUUACAUUGGGGACUAGAAUAAAACUUAGAUAUUAUGAUUUUGGUUUAUAAAUGUCAUUUGCAUCCUAAAAGUGAGAAGCAAAACAUGAAACAGAAGUAAGAGAAGAAGCUCCAUUGCUUGAUGUACAAAUUUAGCCACCUUUAAUUGGUUGGUUAAAUUCUGCAUAUCAUAAUUAGUGAAAGUAAAUUUAUGCAAGAAAACAUGAUACAAAAGUUUACCUGCUCCAGUUCAUGCCAACUUUCUGCCAGAUUAAUCCAUCACAAAUAUUAUGUAGUGUUGUGGAGAUUUUAAGAUGAGCGUAAUAUUGUUUUGACAUUGACUUCACAAGUGAAAUGUCCAGGUGAACCAUGCCCUGACCUGAAGCCAUCCAGCAAUAUAUAUACUAAGAUCUCUAAGGUGGAGAUAUCCACAAAAAGACCUCAAUAUAGUGGAAGUUGAAAAAAAUUCAUACAGCCUGAAAAAUCACCAGUUCCUUGCUUCUUGUGUAUUGUACUUUGCUUGGUUGAUAUUCUGGUAUUUCUACUAUUGCAGAUUCCUUGAUGAAUAACACCUCCACUUUGCAAAUCCGGGAGCCAAGAAACAGGUAUAUUCUCCAAACAAAACCCUUGAGCAAAGCUGAAAACUCUCACUUAAACCUGCUUUAACUGACAAACAUAAUCAAUCCAAAAUGUGCCAAAAGAAACACAAGUCCUCGGCAGAAACAACGGAAGAUAACAAAGGAUAAAAAUGGAACAUGUUGAACAGCAUGGAAAUUUACAGCCUCC